AUAAGGAGGUUAUCAUUUGUGAGUAUGAAACUUUUUCACUCAUCAUUAUUCUCAAUACAUUCAGGAUUUUCCGUAAUCAUGGUAGCCUGCACAUUCAUUGGAAGUGUUUAGAAACAUAUUAUAUUCUUAUUUACAAUAAAAUUGCCUCCGAAAUGACACAAUAGGUGUAGGUGUUAACAUCAUCACAACCCCACCCAUAAAUUCAGUUUCUGCGUUAAAAUUUCCUCUUCCAUUGUUGGAUCAACAAAAUCCUAAUUUGUUCCACGUAAAGGUACUGCCAAAACCAGAGGUCCCAGACGAACCAGGGCCAGACACACUCCUCUACCACCCCUGGACCGAACCUGCUACUACUGGGUUAAAAAUCCCAUUCAGGUAAUUAAUGUUAGACUAUUCAACUAUUGAUCAAUUAGGCACUGAGACUGGUUUUGAUGGUAGGGACAAUUUGUGGCUGUCUUAUACAGAAUAGACUUGCUUAGGAUAUGCUUCUUGCUAGUCAGGGGGGCGUCUGCAAGAUGUUCGGUGAACAAUGUUGUACGUAUAUCCCUAAUAACACCAGUCCAGAUGGUAGUAUAUCUAAGGUCCUUAAUGGGCUUGAUGCACUAUCUGUUGAGAUGAGGACCAUGGCGGGAGUGGAGGAGUCUGUUGUCUUGGCCUGGUUUGGUAAGUAUACUGGUAUGGUGGUUACUGGAUUUCUGACCCUAAUUCUUGUAUUAUUGUUAUUGAUGUGUUGUGCUGCUUGCAUCAUACCGUGUUUUAAGAAGUCUGUUACAGAUGUGGUGAAGGCUUCAGGCAUGAUGCCUUUGCUUGAUGCUCCAGUUGGAGAUACUGAAGCAUGCUUUCAGGGGAGGAUGAGACUGAUUGAGGAUGACCCAUGUAUGUUUGUUCUCCCUGUCGUGAAGGGUGGCAUGGUGCCCACCUGGUGCAGGAUAGAAAUAGCUGAGAGGACCAGAUGGGUUAUAAGAAUGCUUUGUUCUGCUUUACUCUGUUUUCCAUGACCAAAGUUUUAUUCCACACUUUGCAACACAUAUUAAAUCCAUGUUAUUGUCAGAUAGAAUACUGAGGGUCCCCAAGGAGAGGGCUUGUUAGUGUAGGAAGGAUUUUUAAUAUGGUUAGCAUUUAUUAGAUUAUACGUUUUUAAAUAGUAUUACAUUUAACAGGAAUAUAGGACAUCUAUGAUGAUUUAGGAUUAUUGUUAGGAUUAAGAUAGAUUGAUUAAGGAAAUGUAAGGACUUUAGAGAAAAGCCGCUCAUAGACAUGUUCUUUCUAAAAGAAAAUCCAUGAGUUUAGAUAAAGCCAAACAGUGAGGCAUGUAGUUCAAAUUUGGGAAUGUGAAAAACAGAGCCACAGGCAGACAGAAGAGCCCUCCCCCGCACUGCAGAGACCUUGAGGGUUGGAGAGCAGAGAAGUUUUAGAAGGGGAGCCAGGACGAGCAAAGAUAACAUAGUGUGUAGAUAACAGUUACUGAGUGGAGACAAAAGCGAGAAUUGGACAUGUGGAAAAUGAAAGGGACACUCCUAAAUGAUAAUGUCAGACAUAAGGAUAAUUCACUAAAUCUUACCUAAGUCAUUGUGUAAGAAUAAGGCAAGGUUGUUACCUGGGCAGAGCCAGGUAACAAAGGGGGGAUGGGUAAAUAGUGUUCUAGAAUAGGAUGUGACCUACGGGAUAAUUAACGAAUAAUUUAUUUUUAGCUAAUAAACAGAACGAAUAAGAAACUGUUUUAUUAACCAAACCUGUAUGUCCAAGAGUUUAUGCACUACAGGUGAACUACAGGUGAAGUCACUCAAUCCAGUCCCAUAGGUCUGGUGGGGGGACCAUACCAAGGGCUCCUGGUGACAGCUAGCUGAAAGAGCUACCCGGAUUCAUAUCGCACUGCGGGAGGCCUUGUUUCCAGGACUCUGGAGAGAUCAAUGACACAACAGAUGGGGCGUUAUGGGCCGAUUCCAGGUUCUGACCCGUGGAGGACUGAAGGCAUGUCUACAGAGGAAGUGGACGAAUCUGGAUCUGUCAUUUGUGGGGAAUUUAUGUUUGAUGAGAAUAGUGUUGAGAUGAAGGGGAAUUAGAUUGUAAUUUGUUUCAAUGAUUAAACUGUUUUUUAAUAAAGAUUGUGACAAAAAUCCUGAAAAAGGAGUUAUGAUUCUGAUGUAGGUUUAAAAACAGUUGGAGUUAAGGUUAGAUUUGAUUAAUAAUGGGUGAAGAGUCGGAUAAACAUUUAUAAUAAUGUUAGUAUGAGUAGAUUAAUAAUUAUAUUUUGUAGAUUUGAAUGUAUAAUAUUUGAUCAAAGGGAGGAUUGAUAGAGGAAAUUAUAGUUGAAAUGAUUAAUUAUAUAUACAUUUCUGAUUAAAACCAUUUAUUCUGAUACUAUUAUGUUAUGAUAUGAAAUGCAUGGGUUCUUGGUUCUUGGCUGUUACUGAAAAUGUAAGCAGAACAAAUUAAUUGUCUGUGCCUCUUGGGAAGUUAAAGGGGGAGAGAUGCUAUAGCUUUUCAGACAGAUAAGAAAUGUUUGGGUGGUGUUCCAUUAGUGGAGAAAAGUAUAUCUUUUAGACAGUUUGGAAUGUAGUUUUAUGGGGGGAGUAGGAGAAGAGUUUCAGACCUAAAAACAAUGGGCUCUUGUGAGAAUCGGAGAGAGGGUGGGAAACUGAUGAUGUCAUGCUCAGUUUAUAACCUGUGGAAAAAUGUGUAUGCGGUUAGUACUCUCUUGUAAUAAACACUGUUACCUUUGGC